GCUCGCGGCCCCGCCCCCCGGAACGAAGCGGUCGGGCCGCGGGCGGGGGGGUUGGGGUCCUGCGGGCGGAGGGGGCGGGGGUUGCUGCCCUCCUCAGCUUGCAGGUAGGGGGGCGGGGACCCGGGCUCUGGCAAGCCGGCGAGCGCCCAGGGCUCAACCUUCAGGUGGAGGUCUCCCAGGUAGUGGACAAGCGAGCUGGAAAACCCGGGGCUGGCUCUCCUGGGAUGGGAGAGGAUGUACUGGGGUCCCACGACGGGAUUGUCCCGCUGGUGUCCAGAUCCUGUACACUCACUCGAGGAGAAGGAAGGAUCCCAGCGGACAGGAAAAGAAGAUGCUGGGGGAAGCCAGGAGCCGCAUCGUCUGUCUCAAGCUGCCUCUCCUGCAGCUCUGCCUGGCUCCCUAGCACACAAGGAGCUUCAGGGCCCUCCACACCCCGGGAGUUUUCCAGUCCUGAGGAUCCUGCAGCGCAUUGGAUAUGCUUCAGUAAAAUCGGGAGUGGAGCCAUGGGACCAAGUGAUCGCAUUUCCUCUUCACUUCUGCCUGCCCCAUCUGGAGUGUUUCCCCAGUGCAUACUUAAAAGAAGAAGGGAAAAAAAAAAAAAAACUGGUUGGACUCUGACUUUAGAGGUUCACUUUACCUUAAUUAAAGCAGGAAUGAUCUAAUUCUGAUGACUCCAAGAGCAGUUUGUCAGAAGUGUUUAAGAUGAGUAUGGUUUGAGUGUGUCAAGGGUAAUCACAAUGUUAACAGGGCCUUCCUGUACCCCCAGAGAGAAUGUUUUUAGCUCUUUAGAUAUCCCAGUUUUCCUGUGUCUUUCAUCUGUGGCCCUAACCCUCUUCUGAGUCUUACUUCUUGUAUUGUCUGGUUUUAUGGCAACUUGACACAAGCUAGAGUCUUCAGACCAGGGAGCCUCAGCUGAGAAAAUGUCUUCAUAAGAUCUGGUUGUAGGCAAGACUGUAGGGCAUUUUCUAACUAGUGAUUGAUGGGGAAAGACCCAGCCCAUUGUGGGUAGUGUCAACCCUGGGCUGGUGGUCCUGUGUUCUAUAAGAAAGCAGGCUGAGAAAGUCAGUAAGCAGUAGCCCUCCAUGGCCUGCCCUGCCUGAAUUCCUGCCCUCACUGCUUUUGGUGAUGAAUUGUUGUAUGGAACUAUGAGGAAAUAAACCCUUUUCUCAAGUUGCUUUUGGUUUGGUG
rnacentral:lncRNA from 1 species